CUACGGGUCGCUCCAGUGGGGAAUCUUGCACAAUGGGGGAAACCCUGAUGCAGCGACGCCGCGUGAGCGAUGAAGUCCUUCGGGGCGUAAAGCUCUUUCAGUGGGAACGAUAAUGACGGUACCCACAGAAGAAGCUGCGGCUAACUACGUGCCAGCAGCCGCGGUAAUACGUAGGCAGCAAGCGUUGUUCGGAGUUACUGGGCGUAAAGAGUGCAUAGGCGGUUCCGUAAGUUCGGUGUGAAAUCUCCUGGCUUAACUGGGAGGGUGCGCCGGAAACUGCGGAGCUUGAGCACGGGAGAGGAAAGCGGAAUUCCUGGUGUAGCGGUGAAAUGCGUAGAUAUCAGGAGGAACACCGGUGGUGUAGACGGCUUUCUGGACCGUUGCUGACGCUGAGGCACGAAAGCGUGGGGAGCAAACAGGAUUAGAUACCCUGGUAGUC
rnacentral:rRNA from 1 species